rnacentral:rRNA from 1 species
UACGGAGGGGGCUAGCGUUGUUCGGAAUUACUGGGCGUAAAGGGCGCCUAGGCGGCCCGCUAAGUCGAACGUGAAAUCCCCGAGCUCAACUCGGGAACUGCGUCCGAUACUGGCGGGCUUGAAUCCGGGAGAGGGAUGCGGAAUUCCAGGUGUAGCGGUGAAAUGCGUAGAUAUCUGGAGGAACACCGGUGGCGAAGGCGGCAUCCUGGACCGGCAUUGACGCUGAGGCGCGAAAGCUAGGGGAGCAAACGGG